AUGAAGCAAGCGUUAAAAUAUUAUAAUAAAUUAAGAAUAAUUCUGGUGAAACUAAGAUUAAAAUAACUUUCCAAUAUAUAUAUAUAUAUAUAUAUAUAUACAUUGCUGCAAAUUCGUUUGAUAGACGAAACUAAUUUGAAACACUAUGGCAAAUAAAUUAAACGUGACAAGAGCGUUAUUUCAAAGCUGUAGGCAAAAAAGUAACGUAAACAACAUCUGCAAAUUUAUGCAUACAUCAAAUGUAAAAAAAGAAACAAAAACAACACGUCAAAAUGAUUAUAUUUUAUCAUUGGAUGAGGCCCUUUAUUUAUCAAAAGAAAUGGGAAUUAAAACAACAACAGAAGUUCAAAAAAUUAUUAUGAGAUCACCUCCAUUUUCUGCCGAUAGAAGUCCAUUUGUUAUUGACAACUUUUUAUGCAACAACAUGAACACUCAUACACAAAAUGAUACAGAUGAAAUAUCACAAAUUGAUAAAAAAAUUGAAGAAUUAAAAAAUGAAAAAGCAAUAAAUGAUUGUAAUAAUAACGAAAAAACAAAAUUAACUAAGGACAGUAAUUUAUUAAAUGAACAUAGUCAUAUAUUAGAUAAUAAAAAUAUUAUUAAUAAACUACUUCUUAAAAAUUUUAAUUUAAAAAGAAUUAAAUCAUUUUUGCAUAAUGACAUGGAAUGGCUAGAAGAGUCAGAAGGUAUAGGAACAAAUAAAAGGUCAUGUGCAUAUGUUUUUAUUAAAAGAGGUAGUGGAAUUAUUAAAGUUAAUAAUCAAGAAGAUUUAUAUAUACGAUGGCCUUAUUUUUAUAACAGAAUGGAUGUACUGGAACCAUUUUAUCUAACAUCUACGGAAUGUAUUUAUGACGUAUUUAUAAAAUUAAAAGGUGGAGGUGUAAGUGGACAAUCAAAAGCUGCAAGGUUGGCAGUCGGACGAGCAUUACUAAACGCUUGUCCACUUAUUUAUGAUAAACUAAAACAGUAUGAUAUUUUAUACGAAGAUAUGCGACAAAAAUUUCCAAAAAUGCCUGGAAGGAAAAAGUCAAGAGCUAUGAAACAGUGGUCAAAAAGAUG
rnacentral:lncRNA from 1 species